GUACUGCUGAGGAGUCCCAUACCAGGACGAAACGGCCGUCCAGUGC
rfam:Schistosoma margrebowiei strain Zambia genome assembly, scaffold: SMRZ_contig0000003